rnacentral:rRNA from 1 species
GAUGAACGCUGGCGGCGUGCUUAACACAUGCAAGUCGAACGGUGAAAGCGGAGCUUGCUCCGCUGGAUCAGUGGCGAACGGGUGAGUAACACGUGGGCAACCUGCCCCUCACUUCGGGAUAACUCCGGGAAACCGGGGCUAAUACCGGAUACGACCUCCUUGGGCAUCCUUGGAGGUGGAAAGUUUUUCGGUGAGGGAUGGGCCCGCGGCCUAUCAGCUUGUUGGUGAGGUAGUGGCUCACCAAGGCGACGACGGGUAGCCGGCCUGAGAGGGCGACCGGCCACACUGGGACUGAGACACGGCCCAGACUCCUACGGGAGGCAGCAGUGGGGAAUAUUGCACAAUGGGCGCAAGCCUGAUGCAGCAACGCCGCGUGAGGGAUGACGGCCUUCGGGUUGUAAACCUCUUUUAGUAGGGAAGAAGCGAAAGUGACGGUACCUGCAGAAAAAGCACCGGCUAACUACGUGCCAGCCGCCGCAGUAA